GGAUGUUGUUCUAGAUGAGCAGGGUGAAGUAUCUUAGGUAGCUAGGAUUUGGGGGCGCUCCAAUGUUGAUGAGAUUACAUCAGAAGAAGAAGCUACAUUGGUUGCUAUAAAAAAAUUAUAGCAAAAAUUUAAAUUUGAAAUCGAGGAUUUUAAUUUUACUAAUAAAGAGUAUUUUAAAUAUCUAUAUCUAAAACAUAUAAUGAGCAUGCAAAUCUUGAAACUGAUCUCAAUCAACCGAAGUGGG
rnacentral:lncRNA from 1 species